AUGAAUAAGAGGAGACAAGCUAAAACUCCUGCAAAUUGUGUGCAUUGUCAAUGAAUUUUCUCAGAAUAUUGAACGUCAUUGAGAAAGAGAGCUCUAUAUAAACGGAUGGAAUGUGUUAGUUCUCCACAACCGGUACGUCGAUAACGUAUUCCUCCGAGCAUCGAUCAGAAGCAAGAGAUUUCACAGGCCUGACAAGAUCAAGAUGUCGUCGUACGGGUCAGCUGAGUACCAUUACUCCAACUCAUGGUGCUUCUUCCGUUCCAAAAUACAACGUAUUUUGAUGAUGAUUUCGGAACUCGGUGCCUGUCCAGCAGGGAACAACAUUGUAUGGGACUUCCUAUGGAGCUACCAACUCGCAAUCAACGACUUCAUCGUACUACAGUGGACCAUCGAAAAGCACGACAGGAAGGGUGCCUGCGCAGCAAUCUUCAGAUUACAAGUCGAAUACUGCAGAUCAGUACUACUAUAACAGCAUAAGCAGUAGCAAAAGCCAGCAGCUGGGAGGUGCUGGAGCAAAAUCAAGCAAGGGCUCGAUUAAGAGGUAUCCGCCACUCAAUGGUUGAUCUUAACUGAUUAGACAGUGCUCCUGAUGAUGAAGAAAAACCAACGGAUUCAUAUAUGUACUCAUACAAGCACCGCGUGUGUACAAAUAAUUUCUUCAUGUGGUUCAUUAGCGUUUUGCAUACUAUGUAUUCAAUUUUUUCGUUGGUUCAUUAAUUACUGAUCGGACAGUCAGUUGUAUACUGGGGGUAUCAAAACAAUUAACCUUGUUUUGGGUUCAUCAGUGUGUAAAUUUAUGUAUGUCGCUAGCUCCGUGCUCGAUCUGUUCAUGUAUAUGUUCAUUCAUUAAUUAUUCGAUCAGUGUAUAAAGGGUGUCAAAUAGUUGCCGUGUUGUAUCUAUCCGUAUGAUAAAUGAUUAUUAGGUCAUUCCCAACACAAUGACUAGGAUGGUGUCCAUAACAUUAAAUAGACUGUCAUCUAGAAUGGAAAAUGAUGUGGCAAGUGAAUAAAUGAGGAAAG